rnacentral:snoRNA from 1 species
GGUCUGUGAUGCGUGUUGGCAUGUAUUAUCUGAGCAUGAAUCUGAAGAUGACCAGUUUAGCUCCAGAAUGGCUCUGAGACCUG